GUAAACUGCAACAUUAACGAAAGAAAGUAGCAAUAGAAAUACUUUUCAGUGGUUAUCGUCCAGACCUGACUAAAUUAGCUUGUACGAAUGCUUAUAGACUCUCAGAUGCUUGCUCAGAUUUCAGUCCUCUGAUUAAGCUGAUCUGAGAACAUACAGCAGGAUUAAGGUGGUGUCACAUUGACGCUUCAAUUGACAAUAGACAUCCACUAAACUGUUCUGUUCUUCUGGAACUAUGCCUUUAUUCCAACUUUCUUUAGAAAAGGAAGUUUCAGCAAUGACUGAAUUAUAUACCUCUGGAUUGGGAUUACCUUUAUAUAUAUUGGCACAGUUGGCUCUGAUAUUAUCUUUUUCUUCAUGUGUCCAGCCUCUGGAUCCUUUCCUGCAAGAUGAGGAUUUUAUUUGACAAGUGGUUGAAGAAAAAUGAAUGAAAGGUUACCAUUGUCAUCAUCACUGAAAGACCUCAGAUCCGCAAUGAUGUCUUCAGGAGGGGCAGUGAAGCCGGUGAAUGAAAAGGAGAAGCCCAGACUGGCACUGGAAGCUCUGCUCAAGGCGGCACCGCUGCUCACAUCCUCCAAGUCUAGCUUCAGCUGUCCGCUCCGUGACUUCCGACUGUGGUGCCCGACUUUCCUCCCCGGUGAAGUUCCCACUGUUUUCUUCCCAAAGCUCGACUUCCUGGAUAAGCUCGGCUCCCCAUUAGUGUUUGAGGUCAGAAUCGUUUCAGCAGAGGCCGUGCGGCUUAUCGACUGUGACGCUGCAACCUUCUCCAGUUGGUCCGACUUUGUCCUACCGAUCAUCGAUGUAACCGAAUCCAUCUUUCAACACAACGGUACCGCUGUUAGUUAUCUGCAUUCGACGGUCAGUCAGAUACUCCCACAUGCUUGAUUCAAAAAGGAGACAUGGAGAAUUCAGAUCUAUUUCCAUUUCAGACCGAGUUAAAAGGACAAGAAGGCGCCAACUCUUUUUUUUUUUUUUUUUAUCUUUCCUGAUGCAGUGAUGUCACCUAUCAAACUAUUAGUCUUUUUGUUUUCUCCUGUGUGUGUGUGUGUGUAAGGAAUAUUGUUUUUCCACUAUAUUUGAUAUGACACAUCUUUUGAAACUAAGCACAGAGAAAUCUUUUCUUUCAACAUGUAUUGUGAUUACUAUA